rnacentral:rRNA from 1 species
AAUUUUGGACAAUGGGGGAAACCCGGAUCCAGCCAUCCCGCGUGUAUGAUGAAGGCCGCCGGGUUGUAAAGUACUUUUGGCAGAGAGGAAAAGGCAUCCCCUAAUCCGGGAUGCUGUUGACGGUAUCUGCAGAAUAAGCACCGUCUAACUCCGUGCCAGCUGCCGCGGUAAUACGUAGGGUGCAAGCGUUAAUCGGAAUUACUGGGCGUAAAGCGUGUGUAGGCGGUUCGGAAAGAGAGAUGUGAAAUCACAGAGCUCAACCUUGGAACUGCAUUUUUAACUGCCGAGCUAGAGUAUGUCAGAGGGGGGUAGAAUGCCACGUGUAGCAGUGAAAUGCGUAAAUAUGUGGAGGAAUACCGAUGGCGAAGGCAGCCCCCUGGGAUAAUACUGACGCUCAGACACGAAAGCGUGGGGAGCAAACAGG